rnacentral:rRNA from 1 species
AUUGAACGCUGGCGGCAUGCCUUACACAUGCAAGUCGAGCGGUAACGGGCCUUCGGGUGCCGACGAGUGGCGAACGGGUGAGUAAUACAUCGGAACGUGCCCGAUCGUGGGGGAUAACGAGGCGAAAGCUUUGCUAAUACCGCAUACGAUCUACGGAUGAAAGCAGGGGACCGCAAGGCCUUGCGCGGACGGAGCGGCCGAUGGCAGAUUAGGUAGUUGGUGGGAUAAAAGCUUACCAAGCCGACGAUCUGUAGCUGGUCUGAGAGGAUGAUCAGCCACACUGGGACUGAGACACGGCCCAGACUCCUACGGGAGGCAGCAGUGGGGAAUUUUGGACAAAGGGCGCAAGCCUGAUCCAGCCAUGCCGCGUGCAGGAUGAAGGCCUUCGGGUUGUAAACUGCUUUUGUACGGAACGAAAAGCCUUCUUUUAAUACAGGAGGGUCAUGACGGUACCGUAAGAAUAAGCACCGGCUAACUACGUG